rnacentral:lncRNA from 1 species
AGCUGAAAUUUUUUAUGAAAAGUAAAAUAUCUUAGAUACCUGAAAUAUUUUGCAAAAACAAUUUUUAAAAUGUCAUUAUAAGAACAGAUUUAUUGUUGCCAAGGGGAAGGGCAGGGGGAGGAGUGGGAUUGACUGGGAGUUUUGGGUUAAUAGAUGCAAACUUACAUUUAGAAUGGAUAGGCAGUGAGGUCAUACUGUAUAGCACAGGGAAUUAUACCCAGUAUCUUGGGAUAGACCAUGAUGGAAGAUAAUAUGAAAAGGAGAAUGUAUAUAUAUGUAUGACUGGGUCACUUUGCUGUCCAGCAAAAAUUAGCACAACAUUGUAAAUCAAUUAUACUUUAAUUUUUAAAAAAAUAUUAUCUGUCCUAUUCAGAUCUGUUUCAGGAUUAUUUGUGUUGAGGAAAAGUGAUUAGGUGGGCAGGAAAGGAUAAAGUUUAGGUGGAAAAGAUUUAAUAAAUCUUAAUAAUUGAAUUAAUAAUUGUAGGAAGUGGGUGAUGAGGACAAGGAGGUCAUGUUUUUCUACUUCUGUAUAUGUUUGAAUUGCAGGAGAUCAGAACAUGCCAUCCCCAAAUACGGAACUUUAGGACAUUGAUUAUUUUUUGUGCUGAAGGCUCUUGAGAAACAGCAGAUGCAGGAAGGGGUUUCUGACCUCCCCCUUUCUACCUAAAAGCAGGGCAUAAAAUUUUCCAUAAGGAAGAUGCUGUCUCUAUACCAGAAGGAGAACAUUCUUAUCAUGGGAGAUGGGGAAAUGAUGCCAAGAAAAAAAAAUGACCCUUGUCUUCUAUGAUUUUCCCUUUCCAUCUCUUUUCUUUAGUGCCUCCUGAGUCUCUAUCACCCUACAGUCCCCAGGACAACUGGACAUGAGAAAGGCAUUAUUACCACACUCAACAAAUAGCCCCAACCUCAGGAUACUGAAGAUGGUGACUCUGCUGAUGUUUUGCCUCCAGGAAGAUCACAUGCUACCAGUUGAAAGAACUUAAGGAGAUCUCAGUCAACCCUUCCAGGAAAGUGCACA